rnacentral:lncRNA from 1 species
GCCUCUCUGACUCGCGUUCCUCAUUCUCCUUGUGGUGGGAGACACGGCGUGGGAAUGCGCUCCUGUCACUGGCUACUGUUGUAAAGAGGCAGCUUAUUCUUUCUCAAAAGCUGAUAAUAUUUUGUGCUCUUUUGCCUGUCGACAUAGCAUCUGUGCUUUACAAAGGUGGCAUUCCUUUACUGAGCCACGUGGACCUUCAUGAGGAUCAGUGAGUGAAGGGAUGUGAGCUCGCUUACACUCGAACACUCGUCGUAUUGAUUAUGUAAUAAAUCCAAGUGCCUUGAUGUCCGUUUUUUUUCUGCACAGCACAUUGGAAAAUCCAAUUGUUGAAUGACAGAUUCCGUUCAUUAAGUUCAAUUCUUGAUUGUUGGAGUACGAUUUCCUAGUCAAGCGUAGUAAGAUGUUGUUAUGUUUUCGACAAGAAUGACCUGGACAUUAUCGUGAGUGUGAUGAGAAAUAUAAAACUGAGACCCAACCAGAAGAAUUGUCAAAGAAAGACCCAUGGCAGCCAUGAAGAAAACCAGGACAAAGAAAUGCCUCCAGAAAACUGGCCUCUCAUAGCCGCCAUUUGGAUCAUCCUCUCAUGGUUUGUUUGGAGUUAGGAAUAACAGACUCCGAGACCACAGAAGACGAAGGUGGAGACCACAUUGAGACCAAAGAAGGAAGCAGAGGUAUUCAGAACCAGGCUAUGCAUGCAGGUACCAUGUCUUUUCCCAUCCUUGUCUCAAAUGCAUGAAGGAGAAUACAUGAAAUGCCAACAGUUUAAUGUGUG